rnacentral:rRNA from 1 species
GAUGAACGCUAGCGGCAGGCUUAACACAUGCAAGUCGAGGGGUAUAGUUCUUCGGAACUAGAGACCGGCGCACGGGUGCGUAACGCGUAUGCAAUCUACCUUUUGCAGAGGGAUAGCCCAGAGAAAUUUGGAUUAAUACCUCAUAGUAUGUGAGAAUGGCAUCAUUUUCACAUUAAAGUCACAACGGCAAAAGAUGAGCAUGCGUCCCAUUAGCUAGUUGGUAAGGUAACGGCUUACCAAGGCAACGAUGGGUAGGGGUCCUGAGAGGGAGAUCCCCCAGACUGGUACUGAGACACGGACCAGACUCCUACGGGAGGCAGCAGUGAGGAAUAUUGGGCAAUGGGCGCAAGCCUGAUCCAGCCAUGCCGCGUGCAGGAUGACGGUCCUAUGGAUUGUAAACUGCUUUUGUACAGGAAGAAACACUGGUUCGUGAACCAGCUUGACGGUACUGUAAGAAUAAGGAUCGGCUAACUCCGUGCCAGCCGCCGCCGUAACAC